ensembl:lincRNA
GGAACGGUUUCGGAACGGGCUCUUUCUCUCUGCUGCUUUGGUUCUUAGGUGCUGAUUUUAGUUUCCAUCAAUGCUGUGUGGCGAUCACUGUCAUCCUCCAACACUGCAGACGGUGAUGACACCCCAUGAAGACCAGGGUUACGUGAUCCUCGGCCACUGCCGUGACCUACCUGCUGGGUCCAAGGGAGGCUCAGUAAAUAGCUGCCAAUUAAAUAACUGUAUGCACUACAAGGAAAGAGAUAGUCUGCAAUUCCAAACAGUGCUGCAGACUUCUCCAAGCCCGGAGUCAGUGAACCAUGAUGACAGACGAUUAAAUAAAUAAACAUGGAAAUACUGGCUAUAGAUUUUAGACCAAUAUAUCCCUCCAUGCAGAAGCAGAUUGAGAGUAUCGUAGAAGAAUCUUUUCUGUAUCCUUGUGGACAUCUCAGAAUUAUGUGAUUUUUCUUUUCUUUCUGCUUUUCAGGAUGAUUUACGGAAGCUUCUUUUUUCUUAAAAUAAAAU